UACGUAGGGGGCGAGCGUUGUCCGGAAUUAUUGGGCGUAAAGAGCGUGUAGGCGGUCCGGUAAGUCGGCUGUGAAAGUCCAGGGCUCAACCCUGGGAUGCCGGUCGAUACUGCCGGACUAGAGUUCGGAAGAGGCGAGUGGAAUUCCCGGUGUAGUGGUGGAAUGCGUAGAGAUCGGGAGGAACACCAGUGGCGAAGGCGGCGACCUGGGCCUGGGCUGACGCUGAGGCGCGAAAGCGUGGGGAGCGAGCCGG
rnacentral:rRNA from 1 species